UAGAAGCAGGAAUUUGGGGAGGAACUGAUGACAUAGAAUAAGGACCUUGAGGAGGCACUGAACCAUCUUGCCAUCGAGCAAAAGGAGGACUGCUGGAAGUACAUGAGAUAAGCUACCUUGCAAAAACAGCCCGCUGGGUAGGCACAGCGGGAGGGGUAGCCAUCCCCGCUGCCCAGUAACGGGCUAGAGACAGCAGUCAAGUUGAAGCAGCGAAUCAGGACCCACCGGGACCCCUCUGAAACACCGACAUGAGUGGAUAAAAGGGGGAAGAGCCAGUCCGUCAAGCUGGUGUCGGGGUCGCAUCGCUAAUUCGUGUGGUGUCAUGCCAUGCCACGCUGAAUAAUUGCGGAACAAGGGGGCCGAACAACUGAAGCAGGUGGUCACUGCGAGCUAAAGAAUCCGACCCCAGGCGGCAGCAAAGACCACCUGAGCCGAAACGCCUACGGCACGGCCACCAAGGACCACCUAAAGACCUGCACCAGGACAACGUGCUGCAAACAGCCCGAUUCCUCUAUCUCUUCUGACGUGGGACCAUCUGCAUGGAACUCGGGGAAGACAUCGGACAGGAUUCCCACAGUCACACGAGAGGCUACCACACCGCUUCCCCUACCAGACCACCAGACCACCUGGUCCAGAGAAUUUGGACACCAUCAUCAUCUGAGUAAAGAUGGGGACUACAAGGCCUUGAGAACAUUUGUCUUUGUCUGAUGGAUUGUUUCAUAUAAUUGUUGGGAUGAUGUCUAUAGAUAGCUGUAAACAGAGAGCAAAGGAACACCUAAUGGGUAAUAGAAGCCACAUGUGAAUCUGGCUUCACAUCCCCACGGGUUGUUUUUGUGGGGAUACAGGGGCUCUCCUCAGAUCCUUCCCUUGGCCCUCCUAUUGGUUUAUUGUAGCUCACCAAAUAGGAGACCCAAGGACAACUGGUGGCAAAGAACAAGAUUAAAAAGAGCCCUGCAUCCCAUUGUCAUUCUUUCGUUGCAGGAGCCUGAAUCACUCUGAACCUUGUUGCUCUACUAAUGGGCACACCACAAGGUUUGGAUGCUAAUGCAUGAGUAAACCCUCUUGCAAAGCGAGACACUUGUUAAACAGUUUUAAGUGAGGUGGCCUUGCAAAACACCUCCACAGCAUGCUUGCAUAUAUCUGGUCUUACCUAGACCAGACAAGGAGGUGCUGCUUGCUGGACAUGGCAGCUCAGUGGUCCUGGUAAUCCAAGGGAUGGCUGAAUAAGGGCAGGUGGAAUGUGACAGGCCCAAGGCCUGAACUCCAUUUUGUUUGGCCAAGGAGAACAAGACAGGACCAAGCAACUACCCCGAGUGGAGAAUAACUGGGUCCGGCCAGAUACCCCUAUAUAAAUCAACAGUGAGGAAAAGCUUUUUGACCCCACUUUGACCUGGGUUUCCACACCACCUGCUGCUGCCAGAUGAGGUUUUAAGUAGCUUUGGGUGAGGAGACCCGAUAUAUUCAUGCAUGACAUUUUAAGUGUUAGCAUAUUAGAUAAGCUAGGUGAGCUGCAUGACAUUUUAAGUGUUAGUGUAUUAGAUGAACGAGGUGAGCCCAGCCAUUAGGCCGCGUUGUAUUGAAUUAAUGUUUUGAAACAUCCUGUACUAUUAACAACUGGAAAACCCCUAUUGUAGUGGUGGUGGUUUUAAUCAUUAUUGUGCUUGCAUAUGUAUUAAUCUGUUAUUAAUGUGCAUUAAGACCAUUUGUGAGCAAUCCUACUAUCUGCUGAAAUCAUGUAUUUAGAUGUUGCCCCAGUUGGCGGCAAUGGUAGACAUUGGCCUUGAUUAAAUUAAUUAGGCCACCUGUGAGUGGAACAUCGAGUGUUAGUGCUUGUAGUGAAUGAUGCGUUUGUUAUGGUAAAUUUGAUAUCGUUGCUUUUGACAUAAAUUGAUAAAUAACCUGCUGUUAAUGUGAUUUUGCCUUAUUACCCUGUAUUCUGGCAUGAUUCCUUUGUACUAUUUGAAUGAGUGAGUGAAUGUUGUUGAUCCACAGGAUCGAGGGGUGGGAUGUGGUGAGCGCGAGUGACUCCAUUUUGUAACACAGAAGCCAUUUUACGAGCAACCACCAUUUGACUCCAUGAACAAUAAUGUAGGAGGAGAAAUUUGGGGAGAAACCGAUAACACAGGAGGGCUUUGAGCACCCCGUGAACCGAUAACAUAGAAGAAGGACCUUGAAGGCCCCAUGAACAACAUAGAAGGAGGAAUCUGGGGAGGAACUGAUAACAUAGAAGGAGGACCUUGAGGAGGCACUGAACCAUUUUGCCAUCGGGGAAAAGAAGGACUACCGGAAAUAUACAAGAUUAGCUAUCUUGCAAAAACAGCCCGUGGGGUGCGCACGGGGGGAGGAGUAGCCAUCCCCCCUGGCUUUACCCGGUAACGGGCAAGAGAGUAGUCAAGUCAAAGCGGUGAAUCAGGACCCGUCAUGACCCCUCGGAAACAACCAACCUGAGUGGAUAAAAAGGGGAAGAGCCAGCCUGUCAAGUUAGUGUCGGGGUCAUGUCAGUGUUUCUGCCACACCACGCCGAACAACUGCGGAACAAGGGGGGCAAACAACUGAAGCAGGUGGUCGCUGUGAGCUGAAGAAUUCGACACCGGCCGGCGGCAAAGACCACCUUAGCUGAGAUGCCUGUGGCACGACCACCAAGGGCCACCUAAAGGCACAACAGCCAAGGACCACCUGAAGACCUGCACCAGGAUGACGUGCUGAGAGCAGCCCAACUCCUCGAACUCCUCUGACGUGGACCAUCUGCAUGGAACUUGGGGAAGACAGUUGGACCAGGUGGGCGGGGGGUGGGGGUGUGUGUGUGUGUUUGUGUGUGUGCAUGCGCACGCAUAUGAAUUUUGCCUUUCAGUUAGACUGAGAAUUGAAAAAAGCUUUCUGCUAAAUACCA